UAUACUAUAGGAAAUGGAUACUCGGCUCUCGCAUCGAUAAAGAAUGUUAAUUGCACAAUCUCGUGAACCAUCGAGUUUUUGCUCGCUAGUUGCGCCUAAGGCAACUAGGCUGAGGGCACGUCUGCCUGGGCGUCACUCACAGCGUCACGCUCAACACAAGGAAUGUUUAUGUGUUGAUGAGCGGAAGUUGGCCCCCUGAGCUAUCUCAGCUCGGUAGGCCUAAAUGAUGACCUUGAGCGAUGGGCAUCAUGAUCUAAGGCGGUUUAGAACCCCUUUCAUCGUUGACCGACGUCGUGUUUGCCUCGUUGACCGCUCGAGCUGUACAAACCCUGGUGUGUUUCAUCUAACACUCACCUUGCGACCCCAGGUUAGGCGAGACUACAUGUUGAGUUUAAGCAUAUCAAUAAGCGGAGGAGAAUAAACUUACAAGGAUUCCCGAAGUAAAGGCGAGCGAACUGGGAUCAACCCAGCUUGAGAAUUGGGCGGCUUUGUCUUCCGAAUUGUUGUUUGUAGAAGUGUCCUCAACGACGGACCGGUCCCAAGUUCCCUGAAAGGGGCGCAAGAGAGGGUGAGAUCCCCGUCGUGUCCGGACCCUUUCACACCACGAGGAGUUGUCGGGGAGUCAGGUUGUUUGGGAAUGCAGCUCGAAUUGGGCGGUAAAUUCUGUCCAAGGCUAAAUACUAGCGAGAGACCGAUAGCGAACAAGUACCGUGAGGGAAAGAUGAAAAGGACUUUGAAAAGAGAGUCAAAGAGUGCUUGAAAUUGUCGGGAGGGAAGCAGAUGGGGGCUGGCGAUGCGCCUAGGUCGGAUGCUAAAUGGUGUGAGCCGGUUCGCCACUCGACUCUGGACGUGGAUCGAUGUGGAUUAUGAUGGUGGCCCAAGCCCGAUCCGUUUACGUGCUUGAUGAUACGUCAUUGUCAUGAUUGUGGUGGGCAAAGUGUGCCUUCGGCGUGCUUAUGACAACUGCGCGCUCCCGGCAGCGGCCUGUGGGCUCCCCAUUCGGUCCGUCUUGAAACACGGACCAAGGAUGGUGGUCAUGGAAGUCAAAAUCCGCUAAGGAGUGUGUAAUGACUCACCUGCCGAAUAACCUAGCCCCAAAAAUGGAUGACGCUUAAGCGCGUGACCCACACCCGGCCAUUGGGGCAAUUGUCAAGCCCUAAUGAGUAGGAGGGCACGACAGUAGCUGCAAAACCUGGGGCGUGAGCUUCCGUUGGUGCAAAUCUUGGUGGUAGUAGCAAAUAUUCAAAUGAGAACUUUGAAGGCCGUAGAGGGGAAAGGUUCCAUGUGAACAACACUUGCACAUGGGUUAGUCGAUGCUAAGAUUCGAGGUAAACCCGUCAGAGAGCGCAAAAUGCGUGAACUUCAAAAUUGAAUCGGAUUAAAAUUCCUGAACCGGGACGCGGCGGUUGACGACAACAUUAGGAAGUCUGGAGAUGUUGCCGGGGGCCUCAGAAAGAGUUAUCUUUUUAGUUCAACAACUUGCCAAUCCUAAAAACGGCUCUGCCGGAGGUAGGGUCGAGUGGUUGGAAGAGCAUCGCACGUCACAUGGUGUCUAGUGCGCCCCGACGGCCCUUGAAAAUUCAAAGGACCGAGUGUCGAUCGCGCCCGAUCGUACUCCUAACCGCGUCAGGUCUCCAAGGUGAACAACCUCUGGUUGAUGGAAGAAUGUUGGCAAGGGAAGUUGGCAAAAUGGAUCUGUAACCUCGGGAAAAGGAUUGGCUCUGAGGACUGGGCUCGAGGGUCCCUGUCCUGAACCCGUCGGUUGUUGGUGGACUGCUCGAGCUGCUUCUGCCGCGAGAGCGAGUCAUUGCGUGCUGACUGGGGGAUGGACUGGGAAUGGUCCCUUUGAGGGCCUUCCCUGGGUGUCGAACAAUCGACUUAGAACUGGUACAGACAAUGGGAAUCCGACUAUUUAAUUAAAAUAAUGAAUUGCGAUGGUCCUUACGGAUGCUAAAGCAAUGCGAUUUCUUCCCAGUGCUCUGAAUGUCAUAGUGAAGAAAUUCAACCAAGCGCGGGUAAACGACGGGAGUAAUUAUGACUCUCUUAAGGUAGCCAAAUGCCUUGUCAUCUAAUUAGUGACGCGUGAAUGGAUUAAUGAGAUUCCCACUGUCCCUGUUGACUAUCUAGCGAAACCACAGGCAAGGGAACAGGCGUGGCAGAAUCAGCGAGAAAAAAGACCCUAUUGAGCUUGACUCUAGUCCGAUUUUGUGAAAUGACUUGAGAGGUGUAGGAUAAGUGAGAGGCGCUUGCGUUGAAAGUGAAAUAUCACUACUUUUAACAUUAUUUUACUUAUUCAGUGAGUCAAAAGCGGAGCACUGCCCUUUUUUUGGAUCCAAGGGUCGUGUCGGCGGCCUGGUUCUGCGGAAGACAUUGUCAAGUGGGGAGUUUGGCUAGGGCGGCACAUCUAUUAAAAGAUAAUGUAGGUGACCUAAGAUGAGCUCAACGAGAACAAAAAUCUCAUGUGGAACAGAAGGGUAAAAGCUCAUUAGAUUCUGAUUUCCAGAACGAAUACGAACCGUGAAAGCGUGGCCUAUCGAUCCUUUAGACCUUCGGAAUUUUGAAGCUGGAGGUGUCAUAAAAUUUACCAUAGGAUAAACUGGCUUGUGGCAGCCAAGCGUUCAUAGCGAAGUUGCUUUUUGAUCUUUCAAUGUCAGCUCUUCCUAUCAUUGUGAAACGGAAUUCACCAAGUGUUGGAUUGUUCACCCACCAAUAGGGAACGUGAGCUGGGUUUAGAUCGUCGUGAGACAUGUUAGUUUUACCCUACUGAUGAUAGUGUCGCGAUAGUAAUUCAACCUAGUAAGAGAGGAACCGUUGAUUCACACAAUUGGUCAUCGCGCUUGGUUGAAAAGCCAGUGGCGCGAAGCUACCAUGUGCAGGAUUACGACUGGACGCCUCUAAGUCAGAAUCUAAGCUAGACAAGUGGCACAUACGCCCGUCGCCCGAUUGGUGACCUGCAGUAGGGAUCUUUAAGUUCCCAAAGGCACGUGUCAUUGGUAAAGCUCCGCGAUGGAUGAGUUGCGAGGGUAGCCUUGAAGUAAAAUUUCCACCGAGUCGUUGGUAGAAUCUUUUGCAGACGACUUAAAUACGCGACG
rnacentral:rRNA from 1 species